UGAUCCCCUUUGCGGGGGUAGGUUGGCUGUGUCCUUUGUGGGGUGGUGUUUUGGCUGUGUCCUUUGUGGGGUGCUUUUGCUUUUCUUUAAGCCACUCUUCCCCUUUCCUCUGCUUGGGAUUUCUCUUCCUCCUUGGUAUGCUGUGCUUAAAGCUGUGCUUGCAGCUUUGCUGUUCCCCUGUCGGGGUAGGGAGGCUGGCGAGAGGCGAGAUCGGGUACUGACGACUCGAGACAGCAGCUUCCAGGCAUCUGUGCAUCAGUACAGCUUUAUUAGGGUAGUGCAGUGUCUUAUAUAGUGCUCAGAGGAGGUGUUUCCAGCCAGCCUGGGGCUGGCACAAGUGGACAGUACAGAUUGGCCCCAAGUUAUGUGUAAGGCAGAGAUAGGUUACCUGUGGUAAACAACCUGUGAGUACCACCCAGGGGGGCUGGCCAGGGUCAGCCCCCUGGGGCUGCAUCCGCCCCGGGGGCCGGCAGAUUCCACCCCCUGACAGCUGUGCGUGGGUUGCUCAUGGUUGCCAGCUUAGGCCCCUGGGAAUCAGUAAGACCCAAGGACACUUCCCAUCACAGGGCCUGAUGUUUACAUUUCAUGCUCCGCUGCAGGAGAAAGCUUCCCACACUACCCACACAUCCAGAGGGAGCAAAGUGUCUGCACAGGCAGUAUAGGGCACCCUUGUGCUCCACAGGUGGCCUUUGGGCCACUGUCUCCAAAGCUGGCCCUGAGGCCACUCAUCCAGAGGGAACAAAGUGUCUGCUGGGGCAGGACAUGGCACCUUUGUGCUCCACAGGUGGCCUUUGGGCUACUGUCUCCAAUGGUAGCCCUGUGGCCACUAAUCCAGAGGGAGCAAAGUGUCUGCAGAGGGAGGACAGGGCACCCUUGUGCUCCACAGGUGGCCUUUGGGCCACUGUGUCCAAAGGUGGCCCUGUGGCCACUCAUCCAGAGCAAGCAAAGUGUCUACUGGGGUAGGACAGGGCAACCUUGUGAUCCAUAGGUGGCCUUUGGGCCACUGUAUCCUAAGGUGGCCCUGAGGCCACUCAUCCAGAGGUAGUAAUCUGUUCACAGGCAGGACAGGGCACCCUUGUGCUCCACAGGUGGCCUUUGGGCCACUGUCUCCAAAGGUGGCCUUGUGGCCACUCCUCCAGAGGGAGCAAAGUGUCUGCUGGGGCAGGACAGGGCACCCUUGUGCUCCACAGGUGGCCUUUGGGCCACUGUCUCCAAAGGUGGCCCUGAGGCCACUCAUCCAGAGGGAGCAAUCUCUGCAGGGGCAGGACAGGGCACCCUUGUGCUCCACAGGUGUCCUGUGGACAGCUCUCUCCAGAGGUGGCCUUCAGCUCACCCUUGGAGGCAAUGAUCUCUCCAGCAGGAAGGAUGCUCCUGUGCUCCACCUGCUGCUCUCCGAGGUGCCCAUGCAGGAGCAGGAUCCAGGCUCUGCUGUGUCCCGGGAAGGACAGGGACGUUUCACCUGUGCCCCUCAGCAGUGGCCUUGUGGCUGCAGGCGCUGCAGAGGCAGUGGAGUUACCUGCUGAGAGCUGCGAGAGGAAGAGCAGAGGCUGACACACGCUGGUGGAGAGCAGAAGUCAUUGCUUGUGUCGGUGCCUGAGGCUGGACUCUGCUGGCAAGCUGAGGGGAGUGUGUUCCUGAGGAGCCCUGCAGAGCUUCAGCAUCUUCAUUCCCUGCCCAUGCAGUGCCUGCAGUGCUAAGGAAUGGGGUGCAGAACUGUUGGAGGAGGUGGCAGAGCUUCGGGGCACCCCUGCACUGCUGGCAGGCAUGGCAGGAUUCUUGCUCCUGAGGUCGACAUUUGGCCACUCUGGCAAACUUCAGGCUGAGGGUGAGCAGGGCUUGGGAUUCUGCUGGCAGGCUGGCAGGAGGCAGCAGGGCUUGCUCAGUGCUCAGGGCGUUGCCGAUCGCCGCUGCUCUGGGGUCAGGAAGGAAUUUUCCCCCCCGGGGCAGAUUGGCACUGGUCCCCAGGGGGGUUUUUGCCUUUCUCUGCAUCAUUGAGCAUGGCCACUUGCAAAGGCUCCUCUGGCCCCUCUUGGCUGCUUUAUUGCCUCCUGCUCAUGCCACAGGAAGAUGUCUCACACCCUGCAGCUAGGGGAGGAGGCUUUUUUCCCCCUGAUGGCCUUUGCAGUGUCCCCGGGGGUUUUUUGCCUUCCUCUGGUGCACUGAACACUCUAAAGGUGGCCUUCAGGCCAUGCGUUCAGGCACCUCCCAGACACACUCAAGCUGGCAGCACCAGAGAGCUCUGCUCUUGUCUGGCCUGAGCACUGUGCUGGUGCUUGUAUGGUCACUGCCUCUGAAACAGCUUUAAAAAGCCACAUCAAAUAAACUCCUUUUCCAACUUGUAUGUCUUCUGGUUGGUGUCCUUUGCAGCUUGCAAUGCCCUCACUGUCCCUCCACUUUCCCUCUCCUCCCCUCUGCCUGUGUCUAAAGUCUGAUGUCCCCCACGUGUCCCCUGUGUGUCUGAGGUGGCUGCUGCCAGCAGCCUCCAUCCCCUUCUCCAGGCUGCUGCUGCUCCUGAGCUUUCCUUUUUCUCUGCAAGAGCUCACAGGUGCCUGUGCUUAGGAGCUUUAUUAAUGCCUGAAAGCAGUGGAACCUUUCUCUGGUGCUGCCACAGCCCCACUGGCAGUGCCACUCUGCAGCCCAAGCAUGACAAUCACAUUAGGUGACAGCCAAGCAGUGGCAACAUCUCGCUCUGAAAAUGACUAACAGCAGGAAAGGCUCCAUGGAACCCCCCAAAGUGACAGGAGUGCCCUGGGGGAAAAGGGAUUUCAAAAGCUGAAAGCUCUGCGUGUGGAGGAAGCAGGAGCCACAGCUGCCUGCGGGCUUUGGCUGCCACUGGAUGCCAAUGUGGACGCUGGGAAAUCCCAGGCUGGGUGUCAGAGCAUCCCAGCUUGGAUGUCAGAGUACCCAAACCUGGAUCUUGGAGCAUCCCAACCUGGCUGUCAAAGGACCCAACCUGGGGAGGCUGUGGAGCCUCCCUCUCUGGAGCUAGUCAAGAACCGUCUGGAUGCAUUCCAGUGUGAUCUGCUCCGGGUGAUCCUGCUCUGGCAGGGGGGCUGGACCAGACGAUCUUCCGAGGUCCCUUCCAGCCCCUGACAAUCUAUGAUUCUACGCUAGGAGAAGAUCCCAGCUUGGCCGCCAGAGUGUCCCAGCCUGGGUGUCCCAGCACCCCAGCCUGCCUGCCCGGAGCGCUGCCGCAGAGCUGGGAAUGACCUGUUCGCUCAGACGCACAGAAAGGUUUAUCCCUCUGUGGGUAGGGAAGAGAAAAA